rnacentral:rRNA from 1 species
AGUGAACGCUGGCGGUAGGCCUAACACAUGCAAGUCGAACGGCAGCACAGUAAGCGCUUGCUCUUACGGGUGGCGAGUGGCGGACGGGUGAGGCAUAGAUCGGAAUCUACUUUUUCGUGGGGGAUAACGUAGGGAAACUUACGCUACUACCGCAUACGACCUACGGCUGAAAGCAGUGGAUCUUCGCACCUUUCGCGAUUCAUUGAGCCGAUGCCGGAUUAGCUAGUUGGCGGGGUAAAGGCCCACCAAGGCGACGAUCCGUAGCUGGUCUGAGAGGAUGAUCAGCCACACUGGAACUGAGACACGGUCCAGACUCCUACGGGAGGCAGCAGUGGGGAAUAUUGGACAAUGGGCGCAAGCCUGAUCCAGCCAUACCGCGUGGGUGAAGAAGGCCUUCGGGUUGUAAAGCCCUUUUGUUGGGGAAGAAAAGCAGCAGUUUAAUACCCCGCUGUUCUGACGGUACCCAAAGAAUAAGCACCGGCUAACUUCGUG